rnacentral:rRNA from 1 species
GACGAACCGUGCGAACGUUGUUCGGAAUCACUGGGCUUAAAGGGCGCGUAGGCGGGCUGCCAAGUCCAUGGUGAAAUCCUCCGGCUCAACCGGAGAAUGGCCUCGGACUGACUGGCGGCCUCGAGGCGGGUAGGGGCAAGCGGAACUGUGGGUGGAGCGGUGAAAUGCGUUGAUAUCCACAGGAACUCCGGUGGCGAAGGCGGGGUCACUGGGAC